UUGUUAUGCUUCCCCCGAAACCUCCGGCUGUCAAGUUUUUCCGCCCGGAUUCAUUUGAAUGACGGACAACAAGUCAGUAAAUGGGAAUGAAGCGUGAUUUAACGGCAGAAUGAGCUUUUCACAACAAAAACAACAAGUGAAGAGAGAACAAUGCAGUGGGGAGCAGAGCAGUGGACAGAACUGAGGAGACUGAAUGAGUAGAGCAGUGGAAAGGAUGCAGUGUCAGCCCUCUGUUUAUAAGAGAGAGGAGAGAAGUGAGGAGAUGUAUGAAGCAGAGCCAUCAGUGUCAUCAAUAUGACUCCCCUUAAUCAAGUAGGACCGUUUGUUGUCUAAAGUGAUGAUUAAACAAAGGAGCUUGUAAUUUUGGAGUGUAACAUUUCCUCAAAGAUAUGUAUACUUUCCUGAUGUUUGUAACACUCUGUUAUGGACUUGUACUUGAAAUGAGGUAAUUUGCUGUAACCCUCCAGGUCAUUCAGUUGGGUUCAAAGAAAUAAUAUUGAUGAAAAUAAAUGGAAAUACUUUUAAGGUCAUUUUUAAAGUAAUUUAAAACCUCUUGACCUGUCCGCGUCCGCUGUCCGGAGCCCAUCCACCCAUAUCCAGGGGUUCCACCAGUAAAAUCUGGCCAUUUCCACCACUGAAUACGGAGGACAUACAGAAGAUCUCUCUUUUAUGCUAUUUAAUACAGUAAUAAAGGAGCUGUUAAUUUACACAUGUGC